CGAAAGUGACAGAUGGUGCAUGGUUGUCGUCAGCUCGUGUCGUGAGAUGUUGGGUUAAGUCCCGCAACGAGCGCAACCCCUAUGUUUAGUUGCCAUCAUUCAGUUGGGCACUCUAGACAGACUGCCCGUGAAAGCGGGAGGAAGGUGGGGAUGACGUCAAAUCAUCAUGCCUCUUACGACCUGGGCUACACACGUGCUACAAUGGUCUGUACAGAGGGUAGCGAAGCCGUGAGGCGGAGCCAAUCUCAAAAAACAGACCUCAGUUCGGAUUGCAGGCUGCAACUCGCCUGCAUGAAGUCGGAGUUGCUAGUAAUCGCGGAUCAGAACGCCGCGGUGAAUGCGUUCCCGGGCCUUGUACACACCGCCCGUCACACCACGAGAGUCGGUAACACCCGAAGUCAGUGAGCUAACCGGUAACGGAGGCAGCUGCCGAAGGUGGGAUCGGUAAUUGGGGUGAAGUCGUAACAAGGUAGCCGUAUCGGAAGGUGCGGCU
rnacentral:rRNA from 1 species